AAUAGUUCCAGAGCAUACCAUAAAACACAAUCAAAACAGGGUAAUCUUCUAGGUGAAACAAUUUGGAAAUUAUACCUCAGUAGUCUGAUGGA